CUACUUACCUGCAGGGGAGACACCAUGAUCAUGAAGGUGGUUUUCUCAGGGUGAGGCUCACCCAUUGCGCUCUGAUGUGCUGACCCCUGCGAUUUCCCCAACUGUGGGAAACUCGACUGCACAAUUUGUGAUAGUGGGGGACUGCAUCUGUGCUUUCCCCUG
ensembl:snRNA U1 U1 spliceosomal RNA